AUGCUACCGUUCGAUGGCAAGGAUGCUGAUGCCAAUGGGUUUGAGGAUGCCGGGUUCAGUUCUGAGAGCAGGCAGGAAGACGACGGCCGGCUGGAGAGGCUGGUGUCCAAGCACAGGUAUGGCCGCGGCAGCAGGGUGCGAAAUGAUGGUCCCUUUCAAGAAGGCGAUAGGGUGAGGAGCGACGGUCGCUUUGAAGAAGGCGGCAGGUUCGCCGCCGCUGAAUCCGCCGAGUCCUCUUUGCUGGAGAGGACGCUCGAGAUCCGGGACAGGUCGUACAGGCUGAAGAUCGAGCGCCGCGACGGCGGUGAGAGCCGAGCGAGUGGAGCACGGGGGACGCCGGCUGAUGAAUUCGUGGGCAGCGCUGCCGCCAGUGUCGAGGAACCACCACUUGCAGAUGAUAAUGAGGGUGGUGGUGCUGCUGGGGGUUCAGAUGGUGAAGAGUUCAGCCGCAACAUCAAUGAGGCUGCCGAGAUCUUGAGGAAGGCGAGGGAGUGCAUGAUGGCCAGGGACGACGAAGAGGCCGCGGACGCGUUGCUGUAUAGGUCAGCAAGGCUUCUGUCCACCGCCGUGGCUUUGAGGCCGGUAAGCCUGGUAGCGGUCGGUCAGCUAGGGAACACCUACCUCCUCCAUGGGGAGCUCAAGCUCAAGAUUAGCCGCGAGCUGAGGACGCUGCUGGCCAACAGCGGGGCUUAUCUGAAUGGAGGAGAGCGUGUCUCACGGUCCAGGAAGCUGGACAGAAGAAUCCUUAACAGAGAGAACAUUUCGUCCGCGCUAGUGGGCGUUUGUGAGGAGUGUGAGAGCCUCCUUGUUGAGGCAGGCAGAAGCUAUAGGACGGCUGUGUCAAUUGAUUCGGGCGACGUCAAGGCGCUGUACAAUUGGGGACUGGCGCUUAUCUUUCGUGGACAACUGCUUGCCGACAUCGGACCGGAAGCAGCAGUUGAUGCUGAUCGGGUGUAUUUGGCUGCGAUCGAUAAGUUUGAUGCCAUGUUAUCCAAAAGCAACACUUAUGCUCCAGAAGCUCUCUACAGAUGGGGCAGCGCGCUGCAGCAACGGUCCCAGUUGCGGUCUCGGAACAACAAGGAGAAGAUAAGGCUGCUGGAGCAGGCAAAGAGUCUGUUUGAAGACGUUCUGUACGUUGAGGGUAACAACAAGAUGGUACGGGAAGCGCUGUCGUCGUGCAUAUCAGAGCUUAACUACCAUGGACGAUGGCUACAGUGA
rnacentral:rRNA from 1 species